GACGAACGCUGGCGGCGUGCUUAACACAUGCAAGUCGAACGGAAAGGCCCUGCUUUUGUGGGGUGCUCGAGUGGCGAACGGGUGAGUAACACGUGAGUAACCUGCCCUUGACUUUGGGAUAACUUCAGGAAACUGGGGCUAAUACCGGAUAGGAGCUCCUGCUGCAUGGUGGGGGUUGGAAAGUUUCGGCGGUUGGGGAUGGACUCGCGGCUUAUCAGCUUGUUGGUGGGGUAGUGGCUUACCAAGGCUUUGACGGGUAGCCGGCCUGAGAGGGUGACCGGCCACAUUGGGACUGAGAUACGGCCCAGACUCCUACGGGAGGCAGCAGUGGGGAAUAUUGCACAAUGGGCGGAAGCCUGAUGCAGCAACGCCGCGUGCGGGAUGACGGCCUUCGGGUUGUAAACCGCUUUCGCCUGUGACGAAGCGUGAGUGACGGUAAUGGGUAAAGAAGCACCGGCUAACUACGUGCCAGCAGCCGCGGUGAUACGUAGGGUGCGAGCGUUGUCCGGAUUUAUUGGGCGUAAAGGGCUCGUAGGUGGUUGAUCGCGUCGGAAGUGUAGUCUUGGGGCUUAACCCUGAGCGUGCUUUCGAUACGGGUUGACUUGAGGAAGGUAGGGGAGAAUGGAACUCCUGGUGGAGCGGUGGAAUGCGCAGAUAUCAGGAGGAACACCAGUGGCGAAGGCGGUUCUCUGGGCCUUUCCUGACGCUGAGGAGCGAAAGCGUGGGGAGCGAACAGGCUUAGAUACCCUGGUAGUCCACGCUGUAAACGGUGGGUACUAGGUGUGGGGUCCAUUCCACGGGUUCCGUGCCGUAGCUAACGCUUUAAGUACCCCGCCUGGGGAGUACGGCCGCAAGGCUAAAACUCAAAGGAAUUGACGGGGCCCCGCACAAGCGGCGGAGCAUGCGGAUUAAUUCGAUGCAACGCGUAGAACCUUACCUGGGUUUGACAUGGAUCGGGAGCGCUCAGAGAUGGGUGUGCCUCUUUUGGGGUCGGUUCACAGGUGGUGCAUGGCUGUCGUCAGCUCGUGUCGUGAGAUGUUGGGUUAAGUCCCGCAACGAGCGCAACCCUUGUUCACUGUUGCCAGCACGUUAUGGUGGGGACUCAGUGGAGACCGCCGGGGUCAACUCGGAGGAAGGUGGGGAUGACGUCAAGUCAUCAUGCCCCUUAUGUCCAGGGCUUCACGCAUGCUACAAUGGCUGGUACAGAGAGUGGCGAGCCUGUGAGGGUGAGCGAAUCUCGGAAAGCCGGUCUCAGUUCGGAUUGGGGUCUGCAACUCGACCUCAUGAAGUCGGAGUCGCUAGUAAUCGCAGAUCAGCAACGCUGCGGUGAAUACGUUCCCGGGGCU
rnacentral:rRNA from 1 species